rnacentral:rRNA from 1 species
UGGGGAAUAUUGGACAAUGGGCGCAAGCCUGAUCCAGCCAUGCCGCGUGUGUGAAGAAGGCCUUUUGGUUGUAAAGCACUUUAAGCGAGGAGGAGGCUACUUGGAUUAAUACUCUAGGAUAGUGGACGUUACUCGCAGAAUAAGCACCGGCUAACUCUGUGCCAGCAGCCGCGGUAAUACAGAGGGCGAGCGUUAAUCGGAUUUACUGGGCGUAAAGCGUGCGUAGGCGGCUUCUUAAGUCGGAUGUGAAAUCCCUGAGCUUAACUUAGGAAUUGCAUUCGAUACUGGGAAGCUAGAGUAUGGGAGAGGAUGGUAGAAUUCCAGGUGUAGCGGUGAAAUGCGUAGAGAUCUGGAGGAAUACCGAUGGCGAAGGCAGCCAUCUGGCCUAAUACUGACGCUGAGGUACGAAAGCAUGGGGAGCAAACAGG